UACGUAGGGUGCAAGCGUUGUCCGGAAUUAUUGGGCGUAAAGAGCUCGUAGGCGGUCUGUCACGUCGGCUGUGAAAACCCGGGGCUCAACCCCGGGCCUGCAGUCGAUACGGGCAGACUAGAGUGCGGUAGGGGAGACUGGAAUUCCUGGUGUAGCGGUGAAAUGCGCAGAUAUCAGGAGGAACACCGGUGGCGAAGGCGGGUCUCUGGGCCGUAACUGACGUCUGAGGAGCGAAAGCGUGGGGAGCAACAGG
rnacentral:rRNA from 1 species